GACGAACGCUGGCGGCGUGCUUAACACAUGCAAGUCGAACGGAAAGGCCCUGCUUUUGUGGGGUGCUCGAGUGGCGAACGGGUGAGUAACACGUGAGUAACCUGCCCUUGACUUUGGGAUAACUUCAGGAAACUGGGGCUAUACCGGAUAGGAGCUCCUGCCGCAUGGUGGGGGGUGGAAAGUUUCGGCGGUUGGGGAUGGACUCGCGGCUUAUCAGCUUGUUGGUGGGGUAGUGGCUUACCAAGGCUUUGACGGGUAGCCGGCCUGAGAGGGUGACCGGCCACAUUGGGACUGAGAUACGGCCCAGACUCCUACGGGAGGCAGCAGUGGGGAAUAUUGCACAAUGGGCGGAAGCCUGAUGCAGCAACGCCGCGUGCGGGAUGACGGCCUUCGGGUUGUAAACCGCUUUCGCCUGUGACGAAGCGUGAGUGACGGUAAUGGGUAAAGAAGCACCGGCUAACUACGUG
rnacentral:rRNA from 1 species